ACCCGCUGAAUUUAAGCAUAUAACUAAGCGGAGGAAAAGAAACUAACUAGGAUUUCCCCAGUAACGGCGAGUGAAGCGGGAAGAGCCCAGCACCGAAUCCCUCGGCGUCUCGUCGACGGGAACUGUGGUGUGUGGGACGCCAACUGUCGAGCGCGCGGGGCCCCCAAGUCCUCCUGAUCGGGGCUUUCUCCAUAGCGGGUGUAAGGCCUUUGCGGGAGCCCCGCCGUUCGGCCGCGAGCGUCCCAGGAGUCGGGUUGUUUGGGAAUGCAGCCCAAAGAGGGUGGUAAACUCCAUCUAAGGCUAAAUACUGUCGCGAGUCCGAUAGCGGACAAGUACCGACCCAGAGGUAAACGGGUGGAUCCGCAAAGUCGCCGCUCGGGAUUCAGCGCGGCGUGCGGCCCGGGGCUGCCGGUGGCGGAGAUCCCCGUCCCCGCAAGGGGGCGGAACUCUGCCGGCCGGUGCCGACCCGGGCCCCGCCGCGUGCACUUUCCGAGCCGGUGAGCGCUACGACCGGUUCUCCGGCAGCGACAAGCCCGUGGGGGAAGGUAGGCGCCGCGACGUUCUUUCGUUCGAAGCGGUGCUGUUAUAGCCCCCGCGGGGAGCCGCCUGCCGCUGGGGACCGAGGGACGGCCGCGCCCGAUCGGGGGCCGUCCGGCCGGCGCGGGGAGUCAUGCUCUCGACUGGCGGGGACUGGGCAACCGUGCCCGCCGACCGCUCCCCGUGCUCGGUUCGGACGCGCCCGCGGGCGCCGAGGGUCAGUGGCGAGUCUGUCGGCCUUCCACCCGACCCGUCUUGAAACACGGACCAAGGAGUCUAACGUGCGCGCGAGUCAUUGGGUCGUCCGAAACCCACAGGCGAAGUGAAAGCGAGGGCCGCCCCGGGCUGGCCCAGGUGGGAUCCCUCCGGCCGUCAAAGGCAGGGGGGCGCACCACCGGCCCGUCCCUUCCGCGCCGUCGGUGGGGCGGAGCAGGAGCGCGCGCGUUGGGACCCGAAAGAUGGUGAACUAUGCCCGAGCAGAACGAAGCCAGAGGAAACUCUGGUGGAAGUCGG
rnacentral:rRNA from 1 species